rnacentral:rRNA from 1 species
GACGUAGGGCGCAAGCGUUGUCCGGAUUUAUUGGGCGUAAAGAGCUCGUAGGCGGCUUGCCACGUCUGCCGUGAAAACCAGCAGCUUAACUGUUGGCUUGCGGUUGAUACGGGUUGGCUGGAGUUCGGUAGGGGAGACUGGAAUUCCUGGUGUAGCGGUGAAAUGCGUAGAUAUCAGGAGGAACACCGGUGGUGUAGACGGCUUUCUGGACCGUAACUGACGCUGAGACACGAAAGCGUGGGUAGCAAACAGG